UACAGAGGUGGCAAGCGUUGUUCGGAAUUACUGGGCGUAAAGGGCGCGUAGGCGGUCAGGUCAGUCCCGUGUGAAAUCCCUCGGCUCAACUGAGGAACUGCACGGGAAACUGCCUGGCUUGAGUUCGGGAGAGGGAAGCGGAAUUCCGGGUGUAGCGGUGAAAUGCGUAGAUAUCUGGAGGAACACCGGUGGCGAAGGCGGCAUCCUGGACCGACACUGACGCUGAGGAGCGAAAGCGUGGAGAGCAAACAGG
rnacentral:rRNA from 1 species